GUUUGUUUUUCCUUUUGACCUAGGAUUUCUUCUGGCCAUGAGGAAGUCCUCAUCCUUUGGGGAAGAUGGCCCCAGCCAAUCACCCGCUCCGGCAGGACGUCCAAAUCUGAACAACUCGCUGGCCACUGCAGUCUGCUG
rnacentral:lncRNA from 1 species